GAUGGGAGUGGGCAAGUUAAACGAAUACAUCGUUGUGAGUUGCGUCCAGUCUAUAAUGCUACAGAGGAUCCAGGGUUGUCCCCUCAUAUGAGGGAUGAAGAGCCCAAUCUAAAUGAAAAUCUCAUUUUAAUUGUAUCACAGCCAACGGAGGAGGUACAUUCACAGGAUGAAUGUACAGGUAAUGUUUUGUCUGGUCCAGGUAGGAGCCAAAGUAGUGCGUUACCAGUUUCACAGGGUGGUGGGGAACCAAGACGCACACAGAGAUUAACUGCAGGAUGUCAUCGGAACCCGUAUCAUCUCCCUCAAUCUGUGUGCAUUAAUGAUCAGAUAGCUCUCCCUGUGAUAAGGCCAUCCAAUAGUUCCCAAAGCUGUGUGUUUAGGCCAUGGGUGUGAAAAUAUAAUUUAUCGCCGGGACGUCGAUUUGAUUUUGGGGGGGAUGGGUGUAACCGGUUGACGUAUGGGUUGGGGACUACAACUCCCAAUAGUCUUUGGGACAAUUUUAAGAAUUGCGUCAUUACGUAGUUGGCACGCUAUAAAUAGACGCACGGAAGUACUGCGCGUCCUCGUUUCAUUCAUUCAUUGAACUCGGAAAUAAGCGUGAGCUUGCAUCAGGUCACCUUUAUGUGAUUUUUGAACGUGGGGCAUAAGGCAGUCGUAUGUAUUUGUUUUAUCAAGAAGUCCUUGUGUGUUGAUGGUGAUUGGCCUGGUGAUGCAGCCUUCAGAGUGUUGAAUGAGUGAGAGCGAAUUAGUUUUCCAUCUUACUUCCAUGGCAGCUGCAGGGUCUCCUCCAAGGGUGUGACUGGCACUGGUGAGGUGGUGGGCAUUCUUCUGUGGUUCCUGGUGAUUUAUUUAUCCUUUUGAGUGCCGUGGAUUUUUGUACUGUAUUUGGAGUGUGCAUUGCAAGUAGUGGCUAUAUUUUCCUACACACGUAUAGUUGUGCCCGGAUUGGAGCCCUGUGGUUUGUCAUAAAUUUGUUUUGUUUUUGUUUCUUUCUCCUUGCUGAAUGAUGUGUACUCGUGUUUUAAAUAUCUAAUUGUUUUUAUACAAAACUUGGUAUUUAUUGUGAAUAAAAGCUUGUACAAGCAAUACAUUCUUACUACAGCCUGUGGCCAGUUAUUCACCCACUUGUGGUGGG